rnacentral:rRNA from 1 species
AGAGUUUGAUCCUGGCUCAGAGCGAACGNNNNNNGGAGUAACACAUGCAAGUCGAACGAUCCUUCGGGAUAGUGGCGGACGGGUGAGUAACACGUGGGAACGUGCCUUUAGGUUCGGAACAACACAGGGAAACUUGUGCUAAUACCGGAUGUGCCCUUCGGGGGAAAGAUUUAUCGCCUUUAGAGCGGCCCGCGUCUGAUUAGCUUGUUGGUGAGGUAAAGGCUCACCAAGGCUACGAUCAGUAGCUGGUCUGAGAGGAUGGCCAGCCACACUGGGACUGAGACACGGCCCAGACUCCUACGGGAGGCAGCAGUGGGGAAUCUUGCGCAAUGGGCGAAAGCCUGACGCAGCCAUGCCGCGUGGAUGAUGAAGGUCUUAGGAUUGUAAAAUCCUUUCAGCGGGGACGAUAAUGACGGUACCCGCAGAAGAAGCCCCGGCUAACUUCGUGCCAGCAGCCGCGGUAAUACGAAGGGGGCUAGCGUUGCUCGGAAUUACUGGGCGUAAAGGGCGCGUAGGCGGACAGUUAAGUUGGGGGUGAAAGCCCGGGGCUCAACCUCGGAAUUGCCUUCAAUACUGGCUGUCUUGAGUGUGAGAGAGGUGUGUGGAACUCCGAGUGUAGAGGUGAAAUUCGUAGAUAUUCGGAAGAACACCAGUGGCGAAGGCGACACACUGGCUCACUACUGNNNNUGAGGCGCGAAAGCGUGGGGAGCAAACAGGAUUAGAUACCCUAGUAGUCC